rnacentral:tRNA from 1 species
GGCCUUAUAUUCAAAUAAUGAUUUUAGACUGCAAAUCUGAAGGUGAAGUUGCAAACUUCUAAGGCUU